GGCAACUUACAUUGCCAUAAUACAGACCAGGACCACCGGGCUUGUAAUGAGCCUGGAGUUCCUGGUCUGUAUUAUGGCAAUGUAA